AACGAACGCUGGCGGCGUGUUUAAGACAUGCAAGUCGCACGGGAUAAGACAUGUAGUAAUACUUGUUUUAUUUAGUGGCGCACGGGUGAGUAACACGUGAAUUACAUGCCCUAUAGUGGGGAAUAGCCCAGGGAAACUUGGAUUAAUACCCCAUGGUAUCGAAAGAUUAAAGGUGGCCGCAAGGCUGUCGCUAUAGGAUUGGUUCGCGCCCUAUCAGCUUGUUGGUGAGGUAACGGCUCACCAAGGCAAUGACGGGUACCUGGUCUGAGAGGACGAUCAGGCACACUGGAACAGAGACACGGUCCAGACACCUACGGGUGGAAGCAGUCGAGAAUAAUUCACAAUGGGGGCAACCCUGAUGGUGCAACGCCGCGUGGAGGAUGACGGUCUUCGGAUUGUAAACUCCUGUCAUCUGGGAGAAAGACCUGACGGUAAAUAGCCGGCAGGGUUGAUAGUACCAGAAGAGGAAGGGACGGCUAACUUCGUGCCAGCCGCCGCGGUAA
rnacentral:rRNA from 1 species